CCACUUUCUCCUUAGUUUUAUUUUAUUUUUCUCUCCGAAGAUGGCUGAUUUUGGGAGCACUCUCUUCAAAAAUAUAAUACGAACUCUUGUUAUGGCUCCGGUGUAUACUACAGCAGGAUAUGUUGCAUACAGAACUGGACGCUGGUUCUAUAAUCAUGAGAUGAGGAGGCUUGCUAUAGUGAGUUCUAAAGAGGCACGGCGAUGGGGAGGACAAAAGGUCAAUGAUCAACCACCUAAAUGGCGCCCUUUCUGGGCUUGGUGAUUGCUUGUUUUUGAUAAUAUAAUGCAAAUUUAUCGCGAUCCAGAUUCAAGAUUUGAAUUAUAUGAAUUCAAGUUCUAUCAUAAUCCAUUUGAUUUACCGUGUUUAAAAGCUUUAUUAUGUAUAACUUACUUAGUGAAUCGUAUACAUACGAUAUUUUAACUGAAGAUACUGAAUUCAAAUAAAUUUUUAUCUAAUUGUAUGCUACAUCCACAUUAAAAACAUGCAUCCUUUGGU